CUCUCUCUCUCUCUCUCUCUCUCUCUCUCUCCCUCAUUCCCUACCAUCACACAGUGCAGACCUCAGAUUGAGUGUUAAAGAAUACAAAUGACCAUAUCGCUUGGGACUGGCAGUGAUGAAGUGCAAGUGUACUUGAUUGAUAAACAACCCAAUGGCAGUAGUGGAGGUGAUUCGUGUGGGAGCCAGGAUCUUGAAACACAACUCAAGCUUUAUGGUACGGAGGCCAAAGAACUCAAGGCCUCAACUACAGAAAUUCAAAGAACAUACUUGUUGGAAGUUUAAACAGAGAAGAAAAGAAGGAAAAGUUAAAAAAGAAUAAAAAUAAACACUAAGUUGUCUACUCCCUAUUUUUUGUUGUGGUUUUUUCUUUCUUUUUUUUGUGGAUUAUUUCCUUUCUUCUCAAGUUCAUCCUUACUGUCAUGGGUUUGUAAGCCAUGAAGUCUUUAUCUGUGUUAGCUUAGAUGAGUUGAUCAAUCAGGGCAUUUACUAGCAAUGGUAA